UACGUAGGGUGCAAGCGUUGUCCGGAAUUAUUGGGCGUAAAGAGCUCGUAGGCGGUUUGUCGCGUCUGCUGUGAAAUCUGGGGGCUCAACCCCCAGCCUGCAGUGGGUACGGGCAGACUAGAGUGCGGUAGGGGAGAUUGGAAUUCCUGGUGUAGCGGUGGAAUGCGCAGAUAUCAGGAGGAACACCGAUGGCGAAGGCAGAUCUCUGAGCCGUAACUGACGCUGAGGAGCGAAAGCAUGGGGAGCGAACAGG
rnacentral:rRNA from 1 species